rnacentral:misc_RNA from 1 species
AGAUCUAUCCAAAAGCAGAGGUGCAUGCUUUCAUUAGAAAGCUAAUAGGAGAUGGGGUCGCUGCAUCUGGAGGUGAAAAAUGGUCUAAGAUGAGGAAAUUGGCUAACUAUGCUUUCAACGCAGAGACCUUAAAGAAUAUGAUUCCAGCAAUGAUUGCUAGCGCUCAGAUGGUGCUGGAAAGGUGGAAAAAUCAUCAAGGCAAAGAGAUUGAGGUGGUUGAAGAGUUUAAAUUACUGACAUCUGAUGCAAUUUCUAGGGCAG